CUUCUUUCAUUUUUAUUUUAUUAAGAUAUCAUAUUAUACAAAAUAGUACUUUAUUCUAUGUAUGACAUCAGUACAAUCUAAUAUUAUUUGACACCGUUGUCAUCAUCGAGGUUUGAUCGUGACUUACGUCGUCAGUAUCAACGUGGAUGAUUGCAUCAUCUUCAUUAACCACAGCCAUGUUGUCAGCCCUGUUAAAGGUGGAUCCUUGUUGGUUACCGUUGCUGACGUGUCGAUUAAAGUUGCUCCAAAUCCACGCGCUGCCUCUAAAUGCUCCACUGAGCAGCUUCUCGACGAGGGUUUCUCCAUCGAUUUUAACACAUUGAAGAAAACAAAGAAGCUGAAGAGGAAAGCCCAUAACAAACACCGUGAUGACAUCACAUCCGGCCAUACCUCAACCCAAGAGUGGAUUCUGUCUCGGAAAGAGAACUGCCUGUUUUGGACUGUUGAAGUGAGAGAGGACAACGGAGUGGGAGCAGGAGAAAAUCUGAUAGGAAUUCUUCUAUUGGAGAUGUGGAUUUGGAUUCAAAAGUGCUGGACAUUCAGCGUCAUCACCCAAAUGCCGACUGCAGAAUGAUGAUGGGACAUCUACGAUCCAGAGGCAUAUACAUUCAAAAACCAACUGAUUCUGCAGCAGAGCAUCCCCUGUUGCUUCUCCUGGCUCCCCAGUCCCUGAGCUCCUGCUGCUGCACCCACAGGCCCACAGAGGAGGACAGCUCCAAGGCGGACCAGGGACAGGUCCCAGGACAGUCCAUCGGCGGUGGAGCUGGCCAUCCUGGAGUCCCUGAAGAGGCCACGCUAGUCUCCAACGGAGCAUUUCCUCGUCAGCCUUGUUCCUGCUCUGGAGAGCAUGCUGCCUCAGACGAGAGUAUUAGUGAAAUUUCAAAUUUAUAAAUUCGUUUUUGAAAACAGCACAGCUGUGUUAAAUUUGGAAACAUUGGACCCAAAUAAUCAGUAGUUUUCUGAUGAGGCAGCAGACUCUCCAGGGCAGAAACAAUGUUCUUAUUUUUCUCCUCCUUCUCCCUGAGGCUCUUCCACUUUAAGCUGGGUCCUUUUUAUUCCUGUCCCUCUGUAAAUAGUUAUAUUUUAUAUAUUUAUGUUUUUCUGUUUGAGAAUUUUAAUAUUAUUUCAAAUAAAUUUUUGUAAUGACUAAUGUCUCAGUUCCACUACACAGCAGAUAUUGGCACACAACUUGGCCAAUUUCAUAUUAUAGAAUAGAAUAAUCCUUUAAUUGUCCCACAAGGGGAAAUUUGGUUGUAAC
ensembl:lncRNA